rnacentral:rRNA from 1 species
AUUGAACGCUGGCGGCAGGCCUAACACAUGCAAGUCGAACGAGCGGCGGACGGGUGAGUAAUGUCUGGGGAACUGCCCGAUGGAGGGGGAUAACUACUGGAAACGGUGGCUAAUACCGCAUACUAUCGGAUGUGCCCAUAUGGGAUUAGCUAGUAGGUGAGGUAAUGGCUCACCUAGGCGACGAUCCCUAGCUGGUCUGAGAGGAUGAUCAGCCACACUGGAACUGAGACACGGUCCAGACUCCUACGGGAGGCAGCAGUGGGGAAUAUUGCACAAUGGGCGCAAGCCUGAUGCAGCCAUGCCGCGUGUAUGAAGAAGGCCUUAGGGUUGUAAAGUACUUUCAGCGGGGAGGCGUUACCGGCAGAAGAAGCACCGGCUAACUCCGUGCCAGCAGCCGCGGUAAUUC